GAACUCUUCUUCACAUGCAGUUGGCAGACUCCCUGUGCAAGGAAAUCCCAUAGUGCUGGAGCAACAAUGAAAGAAAGAGUCUGCAUAUGCACAUUUGGUGGAUAUAGAGGAUAGCUGCUCAGAUACGCUGUUGCACGCACCUUAAAGCUCUGGCCAUGUGAAUACUGUCGCCCCAAAGCUGAAACAUUCUGGAUUGGCGGGCCAAAAGAGGACGACGUCUCGCCCUCCUCCUUCAUGCGGUCCCCCAAGUGGAAGGUUCCACGUAGCUCAUCUGGAAUAAUAAUACAGGAGCCAAGUGGGAGGCCGAAUGACAGGGACAGAUGCUGGUCUUGCUUCAGCUGUCCAGAUAAUAAGGGCAAAGGGCAGGAAAAUCCCCGACCACCAUUCGGAAGAAUGCACACAGGCCCCCCUUAAGGCAAACAGGGAAUCGGCAGCAAUUCCUUUGCUUCUAAGCCUUGCAGGUCCGCGGAGAAAGCCUUCAAAGUCCUGAAGGAUGGAGAUGCGGGUGGCUGAAGAAUCUCUGGCAGCUGGACAAAACAUCUCAGAGCCUAAAGAUGAGCCUCGGAAGCCGUGAUUUGUCACGAAGACCCGGGGAGCUAAGCUAGAUAGGAUGUUGACGGUGGCAAUUCCACAGUUUCAUCCCUUGGAAACGUAUUUUUAAAAAAUAUCUGGCUGAAUUUCCUACGGAUGGUUCUAUGCUUCCUUUUUAUUCUUUUUUAUAGCUAUUCGUCUAGUUGUGAAUACAUGUAUGUCCAUUUAAACAUUUAAACAAUAUGUCCAUCUGAUCCAUUCUGUCCCUUUAAGUUGUUAACUUGGGGCAAAGCUUUAAAAGGCAGAAUUGUGUGCACAAUAAGUGGG
rnacentral:lncRNA from 1 species